AUACCAUUUGUCAGCAGUUUUGAGAAGCCCAACGCCGAAUCUCGUCGGCCGCGCCGGUCGUCGAGAGCUGUGGCGCAAGGGUCGUACACGGUCGAUCGUUUCGCCCGGCUAGGUUCGGAGUCCCCUCGAUCGGGGCUGCCCAGAGCGGGUGCCAGGCCCAUUCGGAGCCGGCGGCGAUUGGCGGUGUUUCUUUUCGGCCCGAGAGUCGGGUUGCUUGGGAACGCAACCCAAAGCGGGUGGUAAGCUCCAUCCAAGGCUAAAUACGGGGACGAGUCCGAUAGCCGACAAGUACCGCGAGGGAAAGUUGAAACAACACACAGCUCAUCACAGCCCAUAACACCACACUUAUUUUGAAGGGAAUUUUAAAUACUCACAGGAUAUUGUAUAUAUUCCAGUCUUUUAGAGUUAUUAUUUUUUUUUUGUUCGCCGUUGUCCAGCUGGGUCAUAUUAGUGUUUCUAUGGCUUUCAGCUACUGAAUGGUCAGAGCAGCGAGGAACACGUCCAUAUUAUUAUUAUUAUUAUCAUCAUCAUCAUCAUUAUUAUUAUUAUUAUUAUUAUUAUUAUUAUUA
rnacentral:ncRNA from 1 species